AUUGCUUGCAACCUAAUGCAAAAAGUCUAAUAGCUUUAACAUGAAUACAUAUGAGGUAAAAGCAAAGGUCAAAAUCUAGAACGUUAAAUUAACAUAUGACCUUGAGCUCAAUUUCAAGGUCAUAAACCAAGGACCUCAAAUCGAAAGACUCUAGGUCUCUACUUUAUAUUGUUAAUGAGUUAUAUUACCAUACGACUGAUAUUAGAUAUAAAAGGGGGAAAACUCGCAUCAAAUGUUUAGGUACUCUUUCGACUAAAAUUUAUGUGUAACGACAUGUUGCGACUAACAAUUGUGUGAAAACAUUUUGUCGAUAUCUUAUAAGAUUUCUGAAAAUGAGAGAUAACAAGCCAAAAUCAAACUUUUGAACAUGACCUUGACCUUUGACCUUGACCUCAUUUUCAUUUUUUUAGACCAAGGAC
rnacentral:lncRNA from 1 species